rnacentral:sRNA from 1 species
UGUCCGAACGCCGACCCUGUGGAGGGGU